GCAGGCAGAAGAAAGAAUCAGUGAAUCUGAAGACAGGACAGUGAAAAUUAUUGGGACUGAGCAACAAAAGGAAAAAGGAUUUUUUAAAAAUGAACAGACCCUAAGGAACCUGUGGGAUACCAUCAAGUGAACCAGCAUACACACUAUGAGAAUAUUAUUGUAACUUUGGUUUGUAAGCCUACUUUGUGUUUUGUACAUGAUUUAACAGACAACUUCAUAACAAAAUUUAUUUUAUUCAUAAUAAAAAUUAUUAAUCUAUGUUUUUGGGCACACAAUGUAUAAAGAUGUAAUUUUGUGACAUCAAUAACUGAAAGGGGUGGGGAUGGAGCUAUAAAGAGAAGAGAUUUGUAUGUUAUUGAAGUUAAGCUGGCACAUUCAAAUUAUAGUGUUAUAACUUUAGGAUGUUAACUGUAGUCCCCAUGGUAACCACAAAGAAAAUACCUAUAAGAGAUACACAAAAUGAAGUGAGAAGAAUUAAAAUGUUUCACUACAAAAAACCCAAAAAACACAAAAGAAGACAGCAAUUAGGAAAUGAAGGACAAUAAGGCUAUCAGGCAUAUAGAAUAUAAAUAACAAAAUGACAGAAUUAAGUUCCUCUUUACCAGUAAUUACUUUAAAUGUAAAUGGAUUAAACCCUUGACUCAAAAGACAGAGCCUGGCACACGGGGUAAAAACGUAUGACCCAACUAUAUGCUGCCUACAAGAGAUUUUCUUCAGAUCCAGAGGCACAAAUAGUUUGAAAGUGAAAGGACAGAAAAAGAUAUUCCAUGCAAAUAGUAAACCAGAAGACAGCAGGGGUGGCUACACUAACAUCAGACUUUAAAUGAAGGUCGCAUGGCUCCUUAGUGGAAGACCAAGGACUUAGAGAGAACUCCUCCCAGCAAGCAUCCAUCUGGUCCCAGCUGCUUCUGAAUUGCAGUGACCUUUCUGCAGGAUGAGCCUCACUCUCACUCAGACCAGGCGGAGCAACCUGCAUGGUCCCUGGCCAAAGAGGAAAGGGGGUCUCUCAUCACCCUCCUGGCCCUUCCCCCCUCUCCCCUGAGUGGGCAGAUGCCGUCUCGGCAGAUGCCUCCAUCUGGGCCUGGCUGGAGACUUCUCUCUAAGGAUGCCAGGGCUCUUCACAUUUCACACUCCUGAUUGGUAACUGACCCCAACCUGUGCCACUCGGCCUGCCUCCCUGUUCAUCUGUGAACGCAGAACUCCAAGAGUACGAGAGAGGAUGAGGCCCUUUGUGGUCAUCUAGCCAAAACCCUGCAUUUUAUAGGGGGGAAACUGAGGCCCAGGAGAGGAGCGGCUUUCCCAGGCAGGCAGAACCAUCCGCAGAAGGGCUCCUGGCUCCCAAUCUAACGCUCUCCCACCACACCCCUGGUCUGGGCUGCAUGAGCCCUCACCUGCCGACCUCACCACCCCUGGCGGGAACCAUCAACCAUCCCGAAGUCGACACAUCAACACUGACACCCUCUCUCCCUUGAACAAUGUCACCCUUCGCGAGGUGUAUCCACUCUCCUACUUAAACAUGAGAUAACCGAGAGCCAGAGAGCAGGUGGGGGUUGUCCCACGUCAGCUGCUGACCAUUCAGAGAUCAGGACGGCCCCCAGCCUCCCUGCGUCCCAGGACAGAAGCCCUCAAAGGCUUUACGUCCUAUCAUCCUCCUCUGAUCCCUAAGAGGCUGGCGUCCCCGGGCCUGUUGCCCUAGUUACACACGAGAGACGGAGGCUCAGAGAGGCCCAGCCACCUGGGCACCCCCGCACUGCUGCCAGGGGUGAGGAGGGGGUGGGCCAGGCUUCCUGGGGUCCCUCUGGUGCCCUGUCACCCGCACACUGUGACUCGUACAGUCAGGAGGGAACUCGACCAGUGGAGGCGGAGACGAGUCCGGGUUACUCUUCUCACCCAAUGAGGUGUCUGGCGGGGCCGGUGCAGGCCCAGCAGCUCCAAGAUGCCCGUGGGCCCAGCCUCCUCCUCCACCUCCCUCGGCGUCCUCGGUGAGGCCUGCUCUGCGGUCACAGUGCAGCUCCUCUGGCGUCAGGUUCCCUUUCAGGAUGGACAGAGGGACACAGCACAGGACUGAACAAGACCUGGCACCUGCCUGUGAGGCCUGGGGCUGGCCAGGGAGGGGAGGAGCGGGGAGGAAGGAGAGCAAGGAAUUCUCCAGCGAUGGACAGAGGCAUUCCCUGUACAGACAAGAACCUUUUCUGUGACAAGUAACCAAAAUCCAGCUUGGAAGCCACCCGAGCCCAGAUGCCCAGCUGUGCAUCUAUUGAUUCAGAAGGAACCUGGGAGAGGCGCUGACCUGUUGCCGCGUGGAAAGCCUCUGAAGGAUCAGUGACGCAUGAUCGCUGUGGUUUGCGUCCCAGGCUUAUGGUGCACAGGACAACCCCUGGGCUCC
ensembl:lncRNA